AGGAAGCAUGCUCAUGGCAAUACCCGGAGUCUCCACUGCAAGACCAGAGUGACGGAGGCAGCAGAGCUCCUCAGCAGGCCAGGAGUCUCCAGAGGCACUGCCGAAUGUCUAAGAAGCAACCUCAUUGUAUUCCCAAGACCUGGGAAUCCAGGUCUCGCAGAUACGAUGAUACAAUCUAUAGCCAGGACAUCUCUUCAUGUGUAGUUUUCAAUGAAUACUAGGAUAAGCAACUAUCCCAGUCUUCCCAGGAUUGAGGGGCUUCUCCAGAUGCUGCACUUCUGGUGCUAAAAAUGAGAAACUGAAAUGAAUUAGUCACCCAAGGAAUGCUGACCCUGUGCUAUAUGAUCACAUUUACUCUUUAAAGCAAUGCUUUGAGACAUGAAAGCCAGAUAGGGAAGAAUUUGCAGCCUCAUACUGAUUGGCCAGUUGAGGAGUCAACUCAUCUCUCUUAUAGAAAAAAGAAGAUUACAUUUACGGAAUACAGAAUAUACUGUGCUCUCUACUUACCAAGAGAUUUCUUUCUCUACUGACAACUUUCUGUUGACGUGGUUACUGUGCAGGUUCUGACAGUCGAUUCUUUCCACCUAGUUCACUGCUGAAGCUAUAAUGAUUUCCAUUUUGCAAAAAGAGGAUGAUUACUUAUUAUCUGUGACCAUUUCUCAAUUCCAGAACAAUUGAGCUGCAUAGUCCCUGCAAUCUUAUAAAGGCAUUUGGCCUGGAAGAUGCUCUGCAGCCAUGUGCCAAGAAUAACGGCUAUAGGGACAAUGUUUCAUUAACCCCAAAGCAGCAACCUGAACCUCUUACUGUACAAUAUCUGCUCCGUUCAGAAUUAGCUCGACUUGAGUCACAGGAUGAAGCUUACCAAAAGGAAUUUCCACGUCCAAGGAAGGAACCAAGAUCACUGAGAGGUUAUAGUAUGAAAAGUGAAGAGAAAAAACCUAUUCUAAACAUUUUAUUAAUUGUCAAUAAUUAUUUUAAAAUAUUUAAUAUAGUCUCCUACCUGGUCCACUGGCAUCAAGCUGCCAAAUUUACACGGUCACUUUGGGAAGCCAGCUGGCAGGCAAACAUGGAAAGUGCUGGCUCCUAGCGUAGUGAGAAGACCACAGAUAGAUGGUAAUUUUCUUCUUUGUUUUAUUUUUCUUUUUCUUCUCUCCCUCUUUUUCUUCCCUCUUGCCUUUCCCUCCCAUUGCCCACUUUCUUUUUUUGGCUGCCGAAGAUUUAUUGCCUUUCAGUACUUAUAGAUGAUGUUUUCAUAAGUUCUAAUGAGGUCCCAGCAGUUUUUAACAAUAACAGGACAUUACUGUUCCUAAGAUAUAUUAUGUGUUUUCCCUCAUCUUUCUCCCUUGAAUGAAAUGCUUAGAAGUAGGCUAACCCCCAAUUCCCUUCCCUUUACUAUGAUAAAUGGCUCCAUUACUUAAUAGGGCUAAAUACUCUGCUG
rnacentral:lncRNA from 1 species